UUAAGUUAAUAAGGGCGCACGGUGGAUGCCUUGGCACUAGAAGCCGAUGAAGGACGUGACUAACGACGAAAUGCUUUGGGGAGCUGUAAGUGAGCAAUGAUCCAGAGAUGUCCGAAUGGGGGAACCCGGCAGGUAAUGCCUGUCACUCAUUACUGUUAAGGUAAUGUAGAGGAAGACGCAGUGAACUGAAACAUCUAAGUAGCUGUAGGAAGAGAAAGCAAAAGCGAUUGCCUUAGUAGCGGCGAGCGAAACGGCAAGAGGGCAAACCGAAGAGUUUACUCUUCGGGGUUGUAGGACUGCAACGUGGACUUAAAGAUUAUAGAAGAACUACCUGGGAAGGUAGGCCAAAGAGAGUAAUAGCCUCGUAUUCGAAAUAGUCUUUAUACCUAGCAGUAUCCUGAGUACGGCGAGACACGAGAAAUCUCGUCGGAAUCUGGGAGGACCAUCUCCCAACCCUAAAUACUCUCUAGUGACCGAUAGUGAACCAGUACCGUGAGGGAAAGGUGAAAAGCACCCCGGGAGGGGAGUGAAAUAGAACCUGAAACCGUGUGCCUACAACAAGUUCGAGCCCGUUAAUGGGUGAGAGCGUGCCUUUUGUAGAAUGAACCGGCGAGUUACGAUAUGAUGCGAGGUUAAGUUGAAGAGACGGAGCCGUAGGGAAACCGAGUCUUAAUAGGGCGCAUUAGUAUCAUGUCGUAGACCCGAAACCAUGUGACCUACCCAUGAGCAGGUUGAAGGUGAGGUAAAACUCACUGGAGGACCGAACCAGGGCACGUUGAAAAGUGCUUGGAUGACUUGUGGGUAGCGGAGAAAUUCCAAACGAACUUGGAGAUAGCUGGUUCUCUCCGAAAUAGCUUUAGGGCUAGCCUCGCAAAGAGGAUGCUGGAGGUAGAGCUCUGUUUGGACUAGGGGCCCGUCAAGGGUUACUGAAUUCAGAUAAACUGCGAAUUCCAGACAUUUAUGUGCGGGAGUCAGACUGCGAGUGAUAAGAUCCGUAGUCGAAAGGGAAACAGCCCAGAUCACCAGUUAAGGUCCCAAAAUUCAUGCUAAGUGGAAAAGGAUGUGGAGUUGCGCAGACAACUAGGACGUUGGCUCAGAAGCAGCCAUCAUUCAAAGAGUGCGUAAUAGCUCACUAGUCGAGUGACGCCGCGCCGAAAAUUUACCGGGGCUAAGCAUGAUACCGAAACUGUGGAUGUGCGUUUAUGCACGUGGUAGGAGAGCGUUCUAGCGGCGGUGAAGCAUGACCGAGAGGACAUGUGGAGCUUCUAGAAGUGAGAAUGCCGGUAUGAGUAACGAAAGACAGGUGAGAAUCCUGUCCGCCGCAAGACUAAGGUUUCCUGGGGCAGGCUCGUCCGCCCAGGGUAAGUCGGGACCUAAGGCGAGGCCGAGAGGCGUAGUCGAUGGACAACAGGUUGAAAUUCCUGUACUGCACCGAAUCGUUAUGAGCGAUGGAGGGACGCAGGAGGCUAGCAGCGCGUGGUGCUGGAUACCACGUUCAAGCGUCAAGUCUGAGAGCGAGUCAAAUGCUUGUUCUCAUAAGGACAAGGCGUGAUGAGGAGCGAAAUUAAAGUAGCGAAGGCUGCGACGUCACACUGCCGAGAAAAGCUUCUAGCCAGAGACGGUGCACCCGUACCGCAAACCGACACAGGUAGUCGAGGAGAGUAUCCUCAGGUGAGCGAGAGAACUCUCGUUAAGGAACUCGGCAAAAUGGCCCCGUAACUUCGGGAGAAGGGGCGCUGGUCGCAAGAUCAGCCGCAGUGAAAAGGCCCAAGCAACUGUUUAUCAAAAACACAGGCAUCUGCAAAAUCGUAAGAUGAAGUAUAGGUGCUGACACCUGCCCGGUGCUGGAAGGUUAAGAGGAGAGCUUAGCGCAAGCGAAGGUUUGAAUUUAAGCCCCAGUAAACGGCGGCCGUAACUAUAACGGUCCUAAGGUAGCGAAAUUCCUUGUCGGGUAAGUUCCGACCUGCACGAAAGGUGUAAUGAUUUGGGCACUGUCUCAACGAGAGACUCGGUGAAAUUAUAAUACCCGUGAAGAUGCGGGUUACCCGCGACAGGACGGAAAGACCCCAUGGAGCUUUACUGCAGUUUAAUAUUGGGUAUCUGUCAAGCAUGUACAGGAUAGGUAGGAGCCGGAGAAGAUAGGACGCCAGUCUUAUCUGAGGCGCUGUUGGGAUACUACCCUUGCUUGACGGAUGCUCUAACUCAGGCCUGUGAUCCAGGCCGAGGACAGUGUUUGACGGGCAGUUUGACUGGGGCGGUCGCCUCCUAAAGUGUAACGGAGGCGCCCAAAGGUUCCCUCAGAAUGGUUGGAAAUCAUUCGCAGAGUGUAAAGGUAAAAGGGAGCUUGACUGCGAGAGAGACAACUCGAGCAGGUACGAAAGUAGGGCUUAGUGAUCUGGUGGUACCGCAUGGAAGGGCCAUCACUCAACGGAUAAAAGCUACCCUGGGGAUAACAGGCUUAUCUCCCCCAAGAGUUCACAUCGACGGGGAGGUU
rnacentral:rRNA from 1 species